GAUGAAGAACGUAGUGAAAUGCGAUAAGUAGUGUGAAUUGCAGAAUUCAGUGAAUCAUCGAAUCUUUGAACGCACAUUGCGCCCCUCGGUAUUCCGUGGGGCAUGCCUGUUCGAGCGUCAUUUAACCCCUCAAGCCUAGCUUGGUAUUGGGUGCUUGUCCCGCCUCUCGCGCGGCGACUCACCUCAAAGUCAUUGGCAGCCCGCAUCUCGCCGGCCGUGAGCGCAGCACAGACGCGCUCUUGGCAACGACGGAUCGGCUCUCCAAAAGCUUAUUUCAACCACUGACCUCGGAUCAGGUAGGGAUACCCGCUGAACUUAAGCAUAUCAAUAAGCGGAGG
rnacentral:misc_RNA from 1 species